AUUGAACGCUGGCGGCAUGCUUUACACAUGCAAGUCGAACGGUAACAGGGAGCUUGCUCCGCUGACGAGUGGCGAACGGGUGAGUAAUGCGUCGGAACGUGCCGAGUAGUGGGGGAUAACGCAUCGAAAGGUGUGCUAAUACCGCAUACGUACUGAGGUAGAAAGUGGGGGACCUUCGGGCCUCACGCUAUUCGAGCGGCCGACGUCUGAUUAGCUAGUUGGUGAGGUAAAGGCUCACCAAGGCGACGAUCAGUAGCGGGUCUGAGAGGAUGGUCCGCCACACUGGGACUGAGACACGGCCCAGACUCCUACGGGAGGCAGCAGUGGGGAAUUUUGGACAAUGGGCGCAAGCCUGAUUCAGCCAUGCCGCGUGUCUGAAGAAGGCCUUCGGGUUGUAAAGGACUUUUGUCCGGGAGCAAAUGCUGGUGGCUAACAUCCACCGGAGCUGAGAGUACCGGAAGAAUAAGCACCGGCUAACUACGUGCCAGCCGCCGCAGUAACAC
rnacentral:rRNA from 1 species